AUAUAUACAUAUAUAUAACCUGUAGAGUAUUUUUAGAGUUUGUAGUAUAUGAGGUAAUGGUUAUGUUACCCAACUAUUGCUUAGAUUUUGCAUUUGUUUUAGGAUUCAAUAAAGUGUUCUUUGUAUAGCUUCAUACG